rnacentral:rRNA from 1 species
GCUGCAGAAGAAGCACCGGCUAACUCCCGUGCCAGCAGCCGCGGUAAUACGGAGGGUGCGAGCGUUAAUCGGAAUUACUGGGCGUAAAAGCGCAUGCAGGUGGUUUGUUAAGUCAGAUGUGAAAGCCCGGGGCUCAACCUCGGAAUUUGCAUUUUGAAAACUGGCAAAACUAGAGUACUGUAGAGGGGGGUAGGAAUUUCAGGUGUAGCGGUGAAAAUGCGUAGAGAUCUGAAGGAAUACCGGUGGCGAAGGCGGCCCCCUGGACAGAUACUGACACUCAGAUGCGAAAGCGUGGGGAGCAAACAGGAUUAGAUACCCUGGUAG